AGAGUUUGAUCCUGGCUCAGAUUGAACGCUGGCGGCGUGGCUAAAACAUGCAAGUCGAGGGAGAAGCCACCUUCGGGUGGGUGGACACCGGCGGAAGGGUGAGUAAUGCAUUCGAAUGUACCCCGAGGUGGGGGAUAGGUCAGGGAAACUUGGCGUAAUACCCCAUGUUCUCUCCGGAGGAAAGCUCAGGCGCCUUGGGAGCAGCGAAUGUCCUAUCAGGUUGUUGGUGGGGUAAAGGCCUACCAAGCCGAAGACGGGUAGCGGGUGUGAGAGCAUGACCCGCCACAUCGGGACUGAGACACUGCCCGGACUCCUACGGGAGGCUGCAGUAACGAAUAUUCCGCAAUGCACGCAAGUGUGACGGAGCGACGCCGCGUGCGGGAUGAAGCGGCUCUGCCGUGUAAACCGCUGUCAGGAGCUACUAAGCACUGAAGAGCUCCAAAGGAAGGGCCGGCUAAUCUCGUGCCAGCAGCCGCGGUAAGACGAGAGGCCCAAGCGUUAAUCGGAAUCACUGGGCUUAAAGGGUGCGCAGGCGGGCCCGUGUGUGUGCCGUGAAAUCCCUCAGCUCAACUGAGGAAUUGCGGUGCAAACUGCGGGCCUUGAGGUAGGUAGGGGCUGUUGGAACGAUCGGUGGAGCGGUGAAAUGCGUUGAUAUCGAUCGGAACGCCGAAGGUGAAGACAAGCAGCUGGGCCUAUCCUGACGCUCAUGCACGAAAGCGUGGGGAUCAAACAGGAUUAGAUACCCUGGUAGUCCACGCCGUAAACGAUGUGUACUAGAUCGGUGCAAGUCUGACCUUGUGCUGGUCGGAGAGAAAUUAUUAAGUACACCGCCUGGGGAGUACGGUCGCAAGGCUAAAACUCAAAGGAAUUGACGGGGGCUCACACAAGCGGUGGAGCAUGUUGCUUAAUUCGAAGCAACGCGAAGAACCUUACCAGGGUUUGACAUGCACGGAUUAACUCUAAGAAACUAGAGCCACGCCCUCGGGUGGAACGUGCACAGGUGCUGCAUGGCUGUCGUCAGCUCGUGCUGUGAAGUGUCGGGUUAAGUCCCUUAACGAGCGCAACCCUUAUCGCUAGUUGCCAGCGAGUCAAGUCGGGGACUCUAGCGAGACUGCCGGUGUUAAACCGGAGGAAGGUGGGGAUGACGUCAAGUCCGCAUGGCCCUUAUGUCCUGGGAUGCAAACGUGCUACAAUGGCGUGGACAGAGCGACGCAAGACCGCGAGGUGGAGCAAAUCGCACAAAUCACGCCCCAAUUCGGAUUGGAGUCUGAAACUCGACUCCAUGAAGCCGGAAUCGCUAGUAAUCGCAGAUCAGCUACGCUGCGGUGAAUACGUUCCUGAGCCUUGUACACACCGCCCGUCAAGUCAUGGAAGCCGGGAGCGCCCGAAGUCGCUGCGACUCAGCAGUGCCCACGGCGAGUUCGGUGACUGGGACUAAGUCGUAACAAGGUAACC
rnacentral:rRNA from 1 species